rnacentral:rRNA from 1 species
GCUUAACACAUGCAAGUCGAGGGGUAGCACGGAGGAAGCUUGCUUCCUUGGGUGACGACCGGCGCACGGGUGCGUAACGCGUAUCCAACCUUCCCGUUACUCAGGGAUAGCCUUCCGAAAGGGAGAUUAAUACCUGAUGGUGUUCAAAUUCCGCAUGUUAUUUGAACUAAAGAUUUAUCGGUAACGGAUGGGGAUGCGUGACAUUAGAUAGUAGGCGGGGUAACGGCCCACCUAGUCUACGAUGUCUAGGGGUUCUGAGAGGAAGGUCCCCCACACUGGAACUGAGACACGGUCCAGACUCCUACGGGAGGCAGCAGUGAGGAAUAUUGGUCAAUGGUCGGAAGACUGAACCAGCCAAGUAGCGUGAAGGAUGAAGGUUCUAUGGAUUGUAAACUUCUUUUAUACGGGAAUAAAACACCUUACGUGUAGGGUCUUGUAUGUACCGUAUGAAUAAGCAUCGGCUAACUCCGUGCCAGCAGCCGCGGUAAUACGGAGGAUGCGAGCGUUAUCCGGAUUUAUUGGGUUUAAAGGGAGCGUAGACGGGAUGUUAAGUCAGUUGUGAAAGGCUGCGGCUCAACCGCAGCACUGCAGUUGAUACUGGCGUCCUUGAGUGCAGAUGAGGUGGAUGGAAUUCGUGGUGUAGCGGUGAAAUGCUUAGAUAUCACGAA